CUACGGGUGGCAGCAGUGAGGAAUAUUGCACAAUGGGGGGAACCCUGAUGCAGCAACGUCGCGUGGAGGAUGACGCAUUUCGGUGUGUAAACUCCUUUUAUAUGUCAAGAAAAUGACGGUAGCAUAUGAAUAAGCACCGGCUAACUCCGUGCCAGCAGCCGCGGUAAUACGGAGGGUGCAAGCGUUACUCGGAAUCACUGGGCGUAAAGGACGCGUAGGCGGGUUGGAAAGUCAGGUGUGAAAUCCUACAGCUUAACUGUAGAACUGCACUUGAAACUUCUAAUCUAGAGUAUGGGAGAGGGAGAUGGAAUUAGUGGUGUAGGGGUGAAAUCCGUAGAUAUCACUAGGAAUACCUAAAGCGAAGGCGAUCUCCUGGAACAUUACUGACGCUAAGGCGUGAAAGCGUGGGGAGCAAACAGGAUUAGAUACCCUAGUAGUC
rnacentral:rRNA from 1 species